AUUUAACGCUGGCGGCAGGCCUAACACAUGCAAGUCGAGCGGAGCGGCGGACGGGUGGGUAAUGCCUAGGAAUCUGCCUGGUCGUGGGGGACACCGUCCGGAAACGGGCGCUAAUACCGCAUCCUAUCAGAUGCGCCUCGGUCGGAGUAGCUAGUGGGGGGGGUAAAGGCCUACCACGGCGACGAUCCGUAACUGGUCUGCGAGGAUGAUCAGUCACACUGGAACGUAGACACGGUCCAGACUCCUACGGGAGUCAGCAGUGGGGAAUAUUGGACAAUGGGCGAAAGCCUGAUCCAGCCAUGCCGCGUGUGUGAAGAAGGUCUUCGGAUUGUAAAGCACUUUAAGUUGGGAAGCGUUACCAACAGAAUAAGCACCGGCGAACUUCGUGCCAGCCGCCGCGGUAAUAC
rnacentral:rRNA from 1 species